rnacentral:rRNA from 1 species
AGAGUUUGAUCCUGGCUCAGGAUGAACGCUGGCGGCGUGCCUUACACAUGCAAGUCGAGCGGAGAAGAUUUCCUGUGGCAACACAGGAGUCUUCUUAGCGGCAAACGGGUGAGUAAUGGAUGAGUAACCUGCCCUGUAGAUGGGGAUAGCCAUCCGAAAGGAUGGGUAAUACCCAAUAAUGUUGGAGGACUUCGGUUCUCCAAAGAAAGGUGGCGCAAGCUACCGCUUCAGGAUGGGCUCAUCUCCUAUCAGCUAGUUGGUGAGGUAAUGGCUCACCAAGGCUAUGACGGGUAGCUGGCCUGAGAGGGUGGUCAGCCACAUUGGGACUGAGACACGGCCCAGACUCCUACGGGAGGCAGCAGUGGGGAAUCUUGGUCAAUGGGCGAAAGCCUGAACCAGCGACGCCGCGUGGAGGACGAAGGCCGAAAGGUCGUAAACUCCUUUUGCAAGGGAAAAAGGGAAGGGUUCGAAUAGGACCCUAUCCUUGAUGGUACCUUGCGAAUAAGCCCCAGCCAACUACGUGCCAGCAGCUGCGGUAAAACGUAGGGGGCGAGCGUUAUCCGGAAUCACUGGGUGUAAAGGGUACGCAGGCGGAUCUGUAAGUUGGAUGUAAAAACUCAGGGCUCAACCUUGAGCUUGCAUCCAAGACUACCAAUCUAGAGAGCAGGAGAGGGGAGUGGAAUUCCCGGUGUAGGGGUAAA